GAUGAACGCUGGCGGCGUGCCUAAUACAUGCAAGUCGAGCGAACAGACGAGGAGCUUGCUCCUCUGACGUUAGCGGCGGACGGGUGAGUAACACGUGGAUAACCUACCUAUAAGACUGGGAUAACUUCGGGAAACCGGAGCUAAUACCGGAUAAUAUAUUGAACCGCAUGGUUCAAUAGUGGAAGACGGUUUUGCUGUCACUUAUAGAUGGAUCCGCGCCGCAUUAGCUAGUUGGUAAGGUAACGGCUUACCAAGGCAACGAUGCGUAGCCGACCUGAGAGGGUGAUCGGCCACACUGGAACUGAGACACGGUCCAGACUCCUGCGGGAGGCAGCAGUAGGGAAUCUUCCGCAAUGGGCGAAAGCUUGACGGAGCAACGCCGCGUGAGUGAUGAAGGUCUUCGGAUCGUAAAACUCUGUUAUUAGGGAAGAACAAAUGUGUAAGUAACUAUGCACGUCUUGACGGUACCUAAUCAGAAAGCCACGGCUAACUACGUG
rnacentral:rRNA from 1 species